CCCUUAGAUGUUCUGGGCCGCACGCGCGCUACACUGAUGCAUUCAACGAGCCUAUCCUUGACCGACAGGUCCGGGUAAUCUUUGAAUCUGCAUCGUGACGGGGAUAGAGUAUUGCAAUUAUUAAUCUUCAACGAGGAAUGCCUAGUAGGCGCAAGUCAUCAGCUUGCGUCGAUUACGUCCCUGCCCUUUGUACACACCGCCCGUCGCUCCUACCGAUUGGGUGUGCUGGUGAAAUGUUCGGAUCGGCCGUUUGUCGCGGUUUCCGCGUCAUGUGGCUGAGAAGUUCAUUAAACCCUCCCACCUAGAGGAAGGAGAAGUCGUAACA
rnacentral:rRNA from 1 species